rnacentral:rRNA from 1 species
UACGAAGGGGACUAGCGUUGUUCGGAAUCACUGGGCGUAAAGCGCACGUAGGCGGAUUCGUAAGUUAGGGGUGAAAUCCCGGGGCUCAACCUCGGAACUGCCUUUGAUACUGCGGGUCUCGAGUCCGAUAGAGGUGGGUGGAAUUCCUAGUGUAGAGGUGAAAUUCGUAGAUAUUAGGAAGAACACCGGUGGCGAAGGCGGCCCACUGGAUCGGCACUGACGCUGAGGUGCGAAAGCGUGGGAGCAAACAGG